rnacentral:rRNA from 1 species
AGUGAACGCUGGCGGUAGGCCUAACACAUGCAAGUCGAACGGCAGCACAGUAAGAGCUUGCUCUUACGGGUGGCGAGUGGCGGACGGGUGAGGAAUACAUCGGAAUCUACUUUUUCGUGGGGGAUAACGUAGGGAAACUUACGCUAAUACCGCAUACGACCUACGGGUGAAAGCAGGGGAUCUUCGGACCUUGCGCGAUUGAAUGAGCCGAUGUCGGAUUAGCUAGUUGGCGGGGUAAAGGCCCACCAAGGCGACGAUCCGUAGCUGGUCUGAGAGGAUGAUCAGCCACACUGGAACCGAGACACGGUCCAGACUCCUACGGGAGGCAGCAGUGGGGAAUAUUGGGCAAUGGGCGCAAGCCUGAUCCAGCCAUACCGCGUGGGUGAAGAAGGCCUUCGGGUUGUAAAGCCCUUUUGUUGGGAAAGAAAAGCAGCAGGUUAAUACCCCGCUGUUCUGACGGUACCCAAAGAAUAAGCACCGGCUAACUUCGUG